UGAACGCUAGCUACAGGCUUAACACAUGCAAGUCGAGGGGCAGCAUUUUAGUUUGCUUGCAAACUAAAGAUGGCGACCGGCGCACGGGUGAGUAACACGUAUCCAACCUGCCGAUAACUCGGGGAUAGCCUUUCGAAAGAAAGAUUAAUAUCCGAUAGUAUAUUAAAACCGCAUGGUUUUACUAUUAAAGAAUUUCGGUUAUCGAUGGGGAUGCGUUCCAUUAGUUUGUUGGCGGGGUAACGGCCCACCAAGACAACGAUGGAUAGGGGUUCUGAGAGGAAGGUCCCCCACAUUGGAACUGAGACACGGUCCAAACUCCUACGGGAGGCAGCAGUGAGGAAUAUUGGUCAAUGGACGAGAGUCUGAACCAGCCAAGUAGCGUGAAGGAUGACUGCCCUAUGGGUUGUAAACUUCUUUUAUAUGGGAAUAAAGUAUUCCACGUGUGGGAUUUUGUAUGUACCAUAUGAAUAAGGAUCGGCUAACUCCGUGCCAGCAGCCGCGGUAAUACGGAGGAUCCGAGCGUUAUCCGGAUUUAUUGGGUUUAAAGGGAGCGUAGGUGGAUUGUUAAGUCAGUUGUGAAAGUUUGCGGCUCAACCGUAAAAUUGCAGUUGAAACUGGCAGUCUUGAGUACAGUAGAGGUGGGCGGAAUUCGUGGUGUAGCGGUGAAAUGCUUAGAUAUCACGAAGAACUCCGAUUGCGAAGGCAGCUCACUAGACUGCAACUGACACUGAUGCUCGAAAGUGUGGGUAUCAAACAGGAUUAGAUACCCUGGUAGUCCACACAGUAAACGAUGAAUACUCGCUGUUUGCGAUAUACAGUAAGCGGCCAAGCGAAAGCAUUAAGUAUUCCACCUGGGGAGUACGCCGGCAACGGUGAAACUCAAAGGAAUUGACGGGGGCCCGCACAAGCGGAGGAACAUGUGGUUUAAUUCGAUGAUACGCGAGGAACCUUACCCGGGCUUAAAUUGCAUUUGAAUAAUCUGGAAACAGGUUAGCCGCAAGGCAAAUGUGAAGGUGCUGCAUGGUUGUCGUCAGCUCGUGCCGUGAGGUGUCGGCUUAAGUGCCAUAACGAGCGCAACCCUUAUCUUUAGUUACUAACAGGUCAUGCUGAGGACUCUAGAGAGACUGCCGUCGUAAGAUGUGAGGAAGGUGGGGAUGACGUCAAAUCAGCACGGCCCUUACGUCCGGGGCUACACACGUGUUACAAUGGGGGGUACAGAAGGCAGCUACCUGGCGACAGGAUGCUAAUCCCAAAAACCUCUCUCAGUUCGGAUCGAAGUCUGCAACCCGACUUCGUGAAGCUGGAUUCGCUAGUAAUCGCGCAUCAGCCAUGGCGCGGUGAAUACGUUCCCGGGCCUUGUACACACCGCCCGUCAAGCCAUGAAAGCCGGGGGUACCUGAAGUACGUAACCGCAAGGAGCGUCCUAGGGUAAAACUGGUAAUUGGGGC
rnacentral:rRNA from 1 species